GGCUUAGAGUUUGAUCAUGGCUCAGGAUGAACGCUAGCUACAGGCUUAACACAUGCAAGUCGAGGGGCAGCAUGAACUUAGCUUGCUAAGUUUGAUGGCGACCGGCGCACGGGUGAGUAACACGUAUCCAACCUGCCGAUGACUCGGGGAUAGCCUUUCGAAAGAAAGAUUAAUACCCGAUGGCAUAGUUCUUCCGCAUGGUGGAACUAUUAAAGAAUUUCGGUCAUCGAUGGGGAUGCGUUCCAUUAGGUUGUUGGCGGGGUAACGGCCCACCAAGCCUUCGAUGGAUAGGGGUUCUGAGAGGAAGGUCCCCCACAUUGGAACUGAGACACGGUCCAAACUCCUACGGGAGGCAGCAGUGAGGAAUAUUGGUCAAUGGACGAGAGUCUGAACCAGCCAAGUAGCGUGAAGGAUGACUGCCCUAUGGGUUGUAAACUUCUUUUAUACGGGAAUAAAGUGAGGCACGUGUGCCUUUUUGUAUGUACCGUAUGAAUAAGGAUCGGCUAACUCCGUGCCAGCAGCCGCGGUAAUACGGAGGAUCCGAGCGUUAUCCGGAUUUAUUGGGUUUAAAGGGAGCGUAGGUGGACUGGUAAGUCAGUUGUGAAAGUUUGCGGCUCAACCGUAAAAUUGCAGUUGAUACUGUCAGUCUUGAGUACAGUAGAGGUGGGCGGAAUUCGUGGUGUAGCGGUGAAAUGCUUAGAUAUCACGAAGAACUCCGAUUGCGAAGGCAGCUCACUGGACUGCAACUGACACUGAUGCUCGAAAGUGUGGGUAUCAAACAGGAUUAGAUACCCUGGUAGUCCACACAGUAAACGAU
rnacentral:rRNA from 1 species